AAAGUACUCCCUCCGUCCCAAAAUUCUUGUCUUAGAUUUUUCUAGAUACGGAUGUAUCAAGUCACAUUUUAGUAUUAGAUACAUCCGUUUCUAGACAAAUCUAAGACAAGAAAUUUGGGACAGAGGGGGUAGUUG
rfam:Triticum aestivum genome assembly, contig: Triticum_aestivum_CS42_TGACv1_scaffold_229757_3B